rnacentral:rRNA from 1 species
UACGUAGGUGGCAAGCGUUGUCCGGAUUUACUGGGCGUAAAGGGCGCGUAGGCGGCCUGUUAAGUCGAACGUGAAAUCCCCGGGCUCAACCCGGGAACUGCGUCCGAGACUGGCAGGCUCGAAUCCGGGAGAGGGAUGUGGAAUUCCAGGUGUAGCGGUGAAAUGCGUAGAUAUCUGGAGGAACAUCGGUGGCGAAGGCGGCAUCCUGGACCGGUAUUGACGCUGAGGCGCGAAAGCCAGGGGAGCAAACGGG